AAGACCUUGCACUUUUGGAGCGGCCGAUGUCUGAUUAGCUAGUUGGUGGGGUAAUGGCCUACCAAAGCUUCGAUCAGUAGCUGGUCUGAGAGGACGGCCAGCCACACUGGGACUGAGACACGGCCCAGACUCCUACGGGAGGCAGCAGUGGGGAAUUUUGGACAAUGGGCGCAAGCCUGAUCCAGCCAUGCCGCGUGAGUGAAGAAGGCCUUCGGGUUGUAAAGCUCUUUCAGCCGGGAAGAAAAGGUUGCGACUAAUAAUCGCAAUUCAUGACGGUACCGAAAGAAGAAGCACCGGCUAACUACGUGCCAGCAGCCGCGGUAAUACGUAGGGUGCGAGCGUUAAUCGGAAUUACUGGGCGUAAAGGGUGCGCAGGCGGUUUUGUAAGUCAGAUGUGAAAGCCCCGGGCCCAACCUGGGAACU
rnacentral:rRNA from 1 species